UACAGAGGUCUCAAGCGUUGUUCGGAUUCAUUGGGCGUAAAGGGUGCGUAGGCGGCGCCGUAAGUCGGGUGUGAAAUUUCGGAGCUUAACUCCGAAACUGCAUUCGAUACUGCGGUGCUUGAGGACUGGAGAGGAGACUGGAAUUCAUGGUGUAGCGGUGAAAUGCGCAGAUAUCAGGAGGAACACCAAUGGCGAAGGCAGCUCUCUGGGACGGUACUGACGCUGAGACGCGAAAGCGUGGGGAGCGAACAGG
rnacentral:rRNA from 1 species